GCCUGGGUGGCUUACUCGGUUAAGCAUCUGACUUCGGUUCAGGUCAUGAUCUCACGGUUCAUGGGUUCGAGCCCCGUGUAGGGCU
rnacentral:tRNA from 1 species